AACGCACAUUGCGCCCCUUGGUAUUCCAUGGGGCAUGCCUGUUCGAGCGUCAUUUGUACCCUCAAGCUCUGCUUGGUGUUGGGUGUUUGUCCUCUCCUUGCGUUUGGACUCGCCUUAAAGCAAUUGGCAGCCAGUGUUUUGGUAUUGAAGCGCAGCACAUUUUGCGAUUCUAGCCUAAAUACUUGCGUCCAUAAGCCUUUUUUAACUUUUGACCUCGGAUCAGGUAGGGAUACCCGCUGAACUUAA
rnacentral:misc_RNA from 1 species